rnacentral:scRNA from 1 species
ACUAUCACGUCGCCCAGUGCCGGCAGGAGGGU